AUCAGACACGGUGCCAGCAGCCGCGGUAAUACAGAGGGUGCAAGCGUUGUUCGGAAUUACUGGGCGUAAAGCGUGCGUAGUCGGUAUUGAGAGUCGCGGGUGAAAUCCCAGGGCUUAACCCUGGAACUGCCUGCGAGACCUCAGUACUAGAGUGUGAGAGGGGAUAGUGGAAUACCCAGUGUAGCGGUGAAAUGCGUAGAGAUUGGGUGGAACACCGGUGGCGAAGGCGGCUAUCUGGCUCACAACUGACGAUCAGGCACGAAAGCGUGGGGAGCAAACAGGAUUAGAUACCCUGGUAGUCCACGCCGUAAACUAUCCAUACAAGCUGUAGUGGGGUUUUACUCCUGCUGUGGCGAAGCUAACGCAAUUAGUAUGGCGCCUGGGGAGUACGGUCGCAAGACUAAAACUCAAAUGAAUUGACGGG
rnacentral:rRNA from 1 species